CCGCCACUGACUGAGACGGUCCAUUGUCAGGGAGCACAUACGUACUAGCAGAACUAUAGACAUCUGAUCCGGGGAGCUAGAGACUGUAUUUCGUUUGGCAAUAAACCUGGGCGGGUGCCUUUGUACCUUAUCAGAGACUGUGGUCUUUGGCAGUUCACUUGGGGUCUGAUGUGUCAGCUAUCUGCGCAGAGCCGGGGCAGCACACAGGGGGAACACACGUACAUAGCCGACUGUUAUCAUCAUUGAACAGAGCAGAGCACCACACCGGUGAUGUCUGACAACACUGGUGGCCCCAACGGCUGAUCUGUUAUAGGUUUUACAGAAACCUCCAAAAGAUAAAGCAAUUGAAAACAGAACAAAACAAGAAA